GACGAACGCUGGCGGCGUGCUUAACACAUGCGAGUCGAACGGAAAGGCCUGGUUUUUGUGGGGUGCUGGGGUGGCGAACGGGUGAGACAGACGUGAGUCACGUGCCCUAGCCUUUGGGAACAUGUCAAGAAGCCGGGGCAAAUGGCGGAAAUGAGCGACUGCUCUGUGGUGUGGGGUGUGAGGUUGCGAAGGAUGUGGUUGUGGUCGAGGCUUAUCAGGUUGCGGGUUGGGUAAUGGGUUGCGUAGGUGUCGACGGGUAGGCGGCCUGGGGGGGUGACCGGCGACAUUGGGACCGAGCUACGGCGCAGACUCCUACGGGAGGCAGCAGUGGGGAAUAUUGCACAAGGGGCGGAAGCCUGAUGCAGGGACGCCGUGUGGGGGAUGACGGCCUUCGGGUUGUAAACUCCUUUCGACCGAGAGGAAGCCACCUGGUUGGAAGGGUGGUGACGGUAGUGGUAGAAGAAGCACCGGCUAACUACGUG
rnacentral:rRNA from 1 species